GGUUGCAACCGUCUAAUUAUUAACUCUGAUAUCUGGGAGGUCAUCGAAACAUUGAAUAAUGGAGGACGGUCAUCAAGUACAACGGCGACAGUGUUUGACGAUUGUUAUUUUUUGGCUUGUGAUUUUCCCAUUAGUAGACUCGAGCACUGUAAUAGAGAAGCCAACAGGGUUGCCCAUGAACUUUCUAAGUUAGCUAGAUUUUCUUCAGCUUUGAGCUGGUUUGAGGAGCCUUCGAGUGAAAUAGUACGCCUCCUCAUUAACGAUGUACUUGUUAUUGAAAAUUAA
rnacentral:rRNA from 1 species